rnacentral:lncRNA from 1 species
UAGCAGCCAUAAGCCUUCUUCCUCACCAUAUCAAGAAUCUCAAGAAUAGAGAAACCCUAGAAAACCAAGACAGCCGCCACCUUCAUCAGCAACCAAGAAGCCAUGGCCUAGCUCUUCAUCUCCCUCUUCAGUCCCAUCGCCCGCCACCAUCCAACACCAUGUUCACCAAGCUCCAAACGACCAUCUCCGUUGCACUACCGGAAAACGACAACGACCAACACCUCCAGUCAUCAUACCCCACGUCCAAAUGACCAUUGCCUGCUGCCAUGAACAACCAUCGAGCAACUCCAGCUCAAACACAAAUCACCAGCGACCAGACCUCUUCAUCUCUCGCACAAAAGAGAACCGAACCAGACCUCAUCUUCACCCUACUCUUCGCCACUUGCCACCCAUACACGCAGACACAGUAGAGGGGAAACGGACGAGGGAACAGAGGUAAAAAAAAUUCACAUAUACACAUUUAGAAAUACACAGUCACGCAUAGAGAUUAGUUCACCCUCCCCCUCACUCACCCGUAUCCAGCAACACACACACACACAAGUUUAGGAUUCUUCUAAAAAAUCAAAUUUGGGAAUUCAAUGUUACAAAGAAAAAUUGCACAACUCCGAAAGAUCUGAAAAUCGAGAAAAGAUUUCUGAAAAUCUAGAUUUCCAAGGGGUUCUUGAGGUCGAAAUUUGCUGCCUGGUUGCUGAAGUUUUCCGAUCCCGUGUGAUUUCAGUUGAGGUUUUUCGGUCAAGGUCCGACUGAGUUAAUAAGUUUUGCGAUUCAAAGCUUUUAAGGUUUGGAGUUUGCUGUUUUGGUUGCCGAUUUGAGUUUCGCUCGCGGUUUUGGAUUCGUCUCAUUGUUGUCUCCUUCGUUCGGAUCUUCUUUUUUGCAUUGUUGUUGGUAUCUGCUCGAAAUUCAGUAUAAAUUCUAUUCAAUUUUUCAAGGGAAAAUUGCUUCACGCUAAAGGUUCAUCUCUCUUCCCUUAUAAUUGUUUCAAAUGAGUUUUAAUUAAAUUCCGUGAAUACUUGUUUGCCUUUAUUUGUUUGUUUGAUCGAUAUGAAUUGGUUUCCAUGAUCAGUGAGUUUGAUUUCGUAUCAUGUUAAGUUGAAAUGAGAUUAAUGGUGUUAUGCUUGAUGUGUUGCCAGGUUAAUCACUAGAAGCAAUCGUGGGUUUCGGGUAGAACAUUAAACUAUUGCGUUUUAUGUAAUCUCCUAACCUCGUUUCUAUUUUAUCCAUUUGGGGCCGCUAGGAGCAUGCUUAGGCCGAUCACAUUUGGG